GGUGCAUGGGCGCAAGUCUGAUGCAGCCACGCCGCGUGAGUGAAGAAGGCCUUCGGGUUGUAAACCUCUUUCUUCGGGGACGAACGGCUGGCGGUUCCCGACGAGGAGGCCGGGGCUUACUACGUGACAACGGCCCCGGUAAUUUCCUGCCCCCCGGCCAUAUUAUA
rnacentral:rRNA from 1 species